UCUUCUGAGGGACGGCGGCGGGGCGGCACCUGGCGGGCGGCGACGCCCGAGCGGGACGGGGCCGGGGCUUCUGUCCCCCGGCACGGCACUGCCCCGCUGGAUUUGGGUCUUUCCAACCCAGCAAGGGUGGUCCCCGUAAUUUCGCUUCCCUUCCGUGAAGCGGAGGGGUCGGUGAGAAGGGCGAGGUGCGACCCCCUCAGCCCGGCCGUGUCGGUAAGGGACUGCCCGCUGGCACAAGACCUGCUCUGAAGGGAUUCCUGCUGCUCCCUUCUCCUCCCGCACGGGUAUUGGCUUCUAAUCGGAGAGAUCUCAUUAUCUGAUGAUGGCAGUGAAGCACGGACUUUUCUAAUCUGCCCGCACAGUGCCUCCUUCUAAAAGUAAAUUUUGCGCAGACCAUAAGGAGUUUGCUCACAUUGGAAGUACUUCAGUUUCUAAUCUGAAGAUUCAUGAGACAAGUAUUAAGAUUCAGAGGCAUCCUGUAUUAAGGGAAUAUUCCUCAGGAUCCAGUGAGGCUACAGAUAGCUUCCCAGGCUGCGUCUUUUGUCACAGUGUUACAGAAGAGGAUGAAGCAUGCGGCAGGUUAGAAGCAAGAAGCAUUGCUCCAGCACUUGGCUUUGCAGCAGUUGUGCACAGUUGGACAAAGACUUACCAAUGUUACAAUUACUUUCUAAGAGAUUGUUAAGUCUCAUUAUCAGACAGUUGUAUGACAUUUAAGAAUAAAUAAUCUAUUGUUCUUAA